UGCAAGCUCUCCAGAGGGGAAAAGUCAGGCUCAUAACCUGAAGGUCCUUGGUUCAAAUCCAAGCCCUGCACCCA
rnacentral:tRNA from 1 species